rnacentral:rRNA from 1 species
AGUGAACGCUGGCGGUAGGCCUAACACAUGCAAGUCGAACGGCAGCACAGGAGAGCUUGCUCUCUGGGUGGCGAGUGGCGGACGGGUGAGGAAUACAUCGGAAUCUACUUUUUCAUGGGGGAUAACGUAGGGUAACUUACGCUAAUACCGCAUACGACCUACGGGUGAAAGCAGGGGAUCUUCGGACCUUGCGCGAUUGAAUGAGCCGAUGUCGGAUUAGCUAGUUGGCGGGGUAAAGGCCCACCAAGGCGACGAUCCGUAGCUGGUCUGAGAGGAUGAGCAGCCACACUGGAACUGAGACAGGGUCCAGACUCCUACGGGAGGCAGCAGUGGGGAAUAUUGGACAAUGGGCGCAAGCCUGAUCCAGCCAUACCGCGUGGGUGAAGAAGGCCUUCGGGUUGUAAAGCCCUUUUGUUGGGAAAGAAAUCCAGCUGGUUAAUACCCGGUUGGGAUGACGGUACCCAAGGAAUAAGCACCGGCUAACUUCGUGCCAGCAGCCGCCGUAA